rnacentral:rRNA from 1 species
UGGGGAAUAUUGCACAAUGGGCGAAAGCCUGAUGCAGCGACGCCGCGUGAGCGAAGAAGUAUCUCGGUAUGUAAAGCUCUAUCAGCAGGGAAGAAAAUGACGGUACCUGACUAAGAAGCCCCGGCUAACUACGUGCCAGCAGCCGCGGUAAUACGUAGGGGGCAAGCGUUAUCCGGAUUUACUGGGUGUAAAGGGAGCGUAGACGGAGAGGCAAGUCUGAUGUGAAAGCCCGGGGCUCAACCCCGGGACUGCAUUGGAAACUGUUUAUCUAGAGUGCCGGAGGGGUAAGUGGAAUUCCUAGUGUAGCGGUGAAAUGCGUAGAUAUUAGGAGGAACACCAGUGGCGAAGGCGGCUUACUGGACGGUAACUGACGUUGAGGCUCGAAAGCGUGGGGAGCAAACAGGAUUAGAUACCCUGGUAGU